UUUUAUUGGUGGCAAGUGACCGGGGUAAUACGGGAGCGGCGAGCUGUAAUCGGAAUUACUGUGCUGACAGCGCUGGUUGGCGGCUAUGUAAGUCAGAGUGGAAGUCCCCGGGUGCAACCUGGGAAUUGCAUCGGAUACUGGGUAGCUAGAAUGAGGUAGAGGGGUGGGGAAUUCCAGGUGUAGCGGUGAAAUGCCUAGAUAUCUGGAGGAACACCAGUGUCGAAGGCGGCCCCCUUGACUGACAUUGACGCUGAGGUGCGAAAGCGUGGGGAUCAAACAGGAUUAGAUACCCUGGUAGUC
rnacentral:rRNA from 1 species